rnacentral:rRNA from 1 species
GAUGAACGCUGGCGGCGUGCCUAAUACAUGCAAGUCGAGCGAACAGACGAGGAGCUUGCUCCUCUGACGUUAGCGGCGGACGGGUGAGUAACACGUGGAUAACCUACCUAUAAGACUGGGAUAACUUCGGGAAACCGGAGCUAAUACCGGAUCAUAUAUUGAACCGCAUGGUUCAAUAGUGAAAGACGGUUUUGCUGUCACUUAUAGAUGGAUCCGCGCCGCAUUAGCUAGUUGGUAAGGUAACGGCUUACCAAGGCUACGAUGCGUAGCCGACCUGAGAGGGUGAUCGGCCACACUGGAACUGAGACACGGUCCAGACUCCUACGGGAGGCAGCAGUGGGGAAUCUUCCGCAAUGGGCGAAAGCCUGACGGAGCAACGCCGCGUGAGUGAUGAAGGUCUUCGGAUCGUAAAACUCUGUUAUUAGGGAAGAACAAAUGUGUAAGUAACUAUGCACGUCUUGACGGUACCUAAUCAGAAAGCCACGGCUAACUACGUG